GGAUCAGAGGCCAUGGCAUGAACCUGGGAGGCCGGGUCUCUGUUUCCCCAAGGCCCGGGUUCAAGUCUGCUCUGGGCUCUCUGCCCUGGUGUGUGCAUGUGGUCUGCGGGUGGGAGGCGCCCUCCUCACCUGCUCUCACCUGGUCUGGCUGCAGGGAGCGGGUGACAGGUGCCUCUGUAGCCGGCUCUGUGGCAGCUCAGUAGUCCUCCGGGUCGCCUCUUCAUUCAGGCCAAAUAACCUUCCGGAGCCUUCCUGCACUAGUGGCCAGAAAGCCCCACCCAGGGUGCACCUGGCUCCAAGAGCAGGUGUGGCUGGUUGCGGGAGGGAGGUGAGCCCAGGAGCCUGAGUCUGCGGGGUGCGGGCCAGGAAGGCGUGGAGGAGUGGAGGAGUCCAGGUCACGCUCUUCCAGCCCAGUGCUCUCCGAGAACUGAAGAGAAAACGCCACACACACAGCACCAAGCCGUUCAAUCUUCCUGACAAUUCCAUGGGGGAACCAAAGCACAGAAACCUAAAGUAACUUGCCCAAGGUCACACAGUAGAAGCUGGGAUUUGAAACUAGGGGGCUAGGUCUUGGAAAAUCCCUGGCAACUAGAGACUCUUCUCAGUCUCCCUGAUUUUAAAAACUACUCCUGGGAAAUCACCAUUCAGCAUCCACAGUGACACCAAGAAAC
rnacentral:lncRNA from 1 species